rnacentral:rRNA from 1 species
GUCUACGGCCAUGCCCCCCUGAAUGUGCCCAAUCUCGUCUGAUCUUGGAAGCUAAGUAGGACUGGGUCUGGUUAGUAUUUGAAUGGGAGACCACCUAGGCAGACUAGGUGCUAUAGACG